UACAGAGGUCUCGAGCGUUAGGCGGAAUCACUGGGCUUAAAGCGUGUGUAGGUGGAUGCCUAAGUACCUUGUGAAAUCCCACAGCUUAACUGUGGAACUGCUUGGUAUACUGGGUGUCUUGAGUCACUCAGGGGCGAGCGGAACAAAUGGUGGAGCGGUGAAAUGCUUAGAUAUCAUUUGGAACGCCAAUGGUGAAAACAGCUCGCUGGGGGUGUACUGACACUGAGACACGAAAGCCAGGGGAGCGAACGGG
rnacentral:rRNA from 1 species